CUACGGGAUGCUGCAGUGAGGAAUUUUGCGCAAUGGGGGAAACCCUGACGCAGCAACGCCGCGUGAGCGAAGAAGGCCUUCGGGUCGUAAAGCUCUGUCAAGUGGGAAAAAAAUUCUUUGAUGAACAGUCAAAGGACUUGAUGGUACCACUGGAGGAAGCACCGGCUAACUCCGUGCCAGCAGCCGCGGUAAUACGGAGGGUGCAAGCGUUGUUCGGAAUUACUGGGCGUGAAGAGCGUGUAGGCGGUUUGACAAGUCAGAUGUGAAAGCCCCGGGCUCAACCCGGGAAGUGCAUUUGAAACUGUUUCACUAGAGUAUGGGAGAGGAGAUUGGAAUUCCUGGUGUAGAGGUGAAAUUCGUAGAUAUCAGGAGGAACACCCGUGGCGAAGGCGAUUCUCUGGACCAAUACUGACGCUGAGACGCGAAAGCGUGGGGAGCAAACAGGAUUAGAUACCCGUGUAGUC
rnacentral:rRNA from 1 species